ACUACUUAGUGAGAACUCCUUAACUAGAAGACUAACAACUUAAAGCUUUAUCCCUGUGAGUACCAGAAAAGUGAUCUGAGUAUUUAUUAAACAGAGAGAACAAACUGCCUACUUCAGGCAGGGAGGAAGCGUAUGGAAAUUAUAUUAGAACUUCAGCAAAGUGCAGAGCUGCAUAAUACAGAAGCUGGGACUCAAAUUGACAGGCUAAUAAGCCAGCUCACUGAAGGGGGCUCUGUGUGGCAGCUCUGAGCUGCUGAGUGUUGGACAACUGUAGGCAAAAUGUGAAAUGGAACAGGGCAGAAAAUAACACACUAACUUCAGGCAACUGUUGCUUUCUCAUGGUCUUCAGGGAUUUUACAUUGUGUAGCUGGCAAAACAAGUCCCCAUUUAACUACUAAGCUUACUACCCAAAUGGAAAACUCAGCUGCUGGAAUCCAUAUUGAGGACUUGUAUCAUGGCCCUAAUACUGUGAAGUACUUGUUCCCUGGAACUGCCAGAGCCUGUUCAGCAUGACACCUUGCUUUGCUGGUGAUGUCACAUGCAGCACUGACUAUAAUUGGAGAAUUGAACCUGUCUGUGGGGGCAAGGUAUAUGGCUGCCGUUAUGACUUUUGCAAAAAGAUCCUUUUUGUUUCACAGAUUAGGGAACCAGACAAGACUAUUUUAGACGCACGCUUAUUGUGAUAUCCUCAGUGCUUGUUAUCGUAUAUUCUUCAUAGGUCUGCCCACUAUGAUAAAUCGUACAGGAAAAAUUAAAACGGACAUGAAAAAUGAAGAAGUUGGUUAUACCAGAAAUCACUGAAGGAAAUGUGAAUCGUAAAAUGAGAGCUAAAAGACUCUGCUUCAGUGGCUGAGACUGACAGCUCUGCCUUCCUGCUGUUGCAUGUGGGAGAAAACUGUGGAUGCAAAAUGUAAAAACACAAGGGAGAUUUUGUGCAACUCCAGUAUGCAUAUAAAGCUGAACCGCUUCCUGAAGAGCACUGAAUUUUCUAUACCAGAUUCUACUUCAGUGGCCAGGACCUUUGUGGCCACUGAUUCUUUUGCUCUGGGUUCUGAAAAAACAUCGUGGAUCCAUCCCUAAAGUAGAAAUGUUAUUUUCCGUCCCGCAAGCAAGGCUAAAGAUUGGAGGAGAAUGAAUGUGAAUCUAAUUCAGGAUUGCGGUCGUGCCAUUCAAAGUUUUCAGCUUCAGAACAAAAUGAUUUGGGAAAUAUCAGUGUUCUUACUCUAUCAACAAUGUUUAAAAGUUGUAGGUGGUUCAAGUGACUUGACUCAAAUAAUGACAAUCUUUGCAUGUCAAUAAUUUCUACAGUUUAAGGAGUGAAAGGUAGUUUUGAGUUUGGAAAAGAAGAAGCUGUUACUAUCAGCCUGUAGUGGGAUUAAAUGUUGAAUAUGGGGAAGAGGCAAAAAGUAAAUAGAUGCCCGAAACUUAUCCUGGCACUGAGGAUGGGUUUAAAGUGCUGUAUAUCCUAGGGCCCACCUUACUGUAGAGGUAUAAUGGGGAAAUAUUUCAAUUAGAAGCCCAUUAUCAAGCAUUUAAUCCUUCUUUAAGGCAUUAGAGGAAAUAGAAUAAAACAUUUACUGUACAAAUCUGCUGCAAGCAGACUUUAACCCACUUAUAGACUUAUCCUUCUGAUGGAUUAUACUAUGGCUACUCAUGAGUCAGAAUAGUAAACAUUUUAUUUGUACUCCUUUUUUCCAAAGUUGUGGAAUCUGUUCUAAGAAGUGUCUUGAUCAAUCAGCUGAUAUUAUUGUUUUGAAUGUAUGUGUCUAUAUUGCCUACUUAUUUGGUCUUUUCCAACCCCUACUUGAAAAGCUGGGGUUUUUUAUACAACAGCAACAAAAGUUUUACUGAAUGUAAUCUUGACGACUAAGUGAUUCAGAUUAUUUGAAGACGAAUUCUACUGGAUCAUAUCGGACUUUUCCUAGUCCCUGAGACCCUAACUUGUGAGGUUUUUUAGCAACAAUCACAAGUCAGGCUCUUGGGACCUAGGCGGAGGGGAACCAGCAGCUUUGGACUUUAUUGAUUGUUUAUCUGCAAUAUUAACAGAACCAAAGGAGAUUUUCUUAUCUGGGGGAAAAUAUUUAUUUCAGAUGUUAAGCACUAGUUUUAUGCUACAAAAAAAAUUGUUGCUAUGUAUUGUACAAUAUCAAGAUUCUACAUAAUUUGUAUGUUUGGAAACCUAUAUUGUAGUGGAUAACAUGUAACAUUUAGAAUUAAAAUGUAAAUGAAUGACAUAUCUACAUAAAAAAUCAGAUACUGAAGGAUAAAUGCACUGUUUUCAACCAUAAUUUUGCUAUUAUGGAUCCUUCUGGUGGAUAAUCAAAACAAAACACAUUUCCAAAUGUAUUGCUAUAAUAUUUAAUGAACUUUUUGAAACUUACAGAUUAUACAUUGAUCUGUGAGGCCUAGCAAAUGGAUUCAUCCUGUUGCCUUUGGGGUAAUAAUGUGAGCGUGCAAGAAAAUUGUUGCUUCUCUUUUCCUGUAAGGCAGUGCAGAGAUUCCUUUGUAGUUGUUACUAUUUCUCUUAGCCUAUAUAAUAAUACAAUAAAGAUUCUCUCAUUUGGUGUAUUAACCCCUUACUCUGAAAGAAAAGAGAAAGCUAGUGUCAAAUUCAUAAUGCUGUGUUGAAGUCACUUUGCCCACAGAACUACAUACUUUUCAUGUACAUACUGUAUCUCAGCAGAGAAGACAGGACACCGGGAAUUAAGCUCAAACUUUAGUCUCUUCCCUCACUUUUACUUUUCACUUAUAAAAACAGACUAACUGUUGUGUUGUCCCCAUAUGCUGAAUACUUCAAUGACUUCAACAUGAGAUCUGCCAGGACACAGCUAAUUUGUAAUGUUUGUCACUCCUAAAGUGCUGAACCAGAACACAAAGAAUUUGACUGUAUUUCUUAAUAUUUUAUAAGUAGUUUGGUCCUGAUUAAUUUUUUUUUCAAUUUCUUGUAUCUAACCCAAGAUGGUACAGCACCCUGUUAUUAGUGUACUAAUGUCACACUUCACUGAUUGAAACAAAUGCUUUACUUAGGGCAAGCAUCUAAACAAUUUGGUCAUUUUGAAACUGAUAUUUUGGCUCCAGUUUAUUUUUUCCACAUAUGUGGGAGGAAUUGUGUUUCAUUGUAACGCUAUUGUUAAAAUAAAUUAUUAUUAAACAUCAGAAUAAUUCAA